GGAAAGAACCAGGCUUUGAUGAAGAUUGCCAGGGCUAGCUGCAGAAAGAAUGCCGCGAACACCACAAUUGUAAGAUCAUUCCCCUCAACACAGGACUUGAGGUUGACAGCAACAAAACAUGCUGAGUCGAUCCCAGCCGCAAGUAUAAUGAUCCAGCGGAGUACCUCAACUGGAAUAACCAGCAGAAAAGAGCUCAGAAUAAAAAUGAAGAGUGAAUAGCCCCACAUACACCAAAACCGUACGAGGCUAGCAUUUGUUCCGAGAUACUGAAGCAGGAAGUAAAAUGCCAAUGGUACCACAAUAGCAUAUCCAUAGAUUGCACAUGCUGCCACAUUUACAUAUCCAACAUCAAAGCUCCAAGAAGCACUGCUGUCAGCGCGUUUCUGUAUGAGGUAGGUGGCACAAUUUCCAAGAGAAGCUAGCACAAAGAC
rnacentral:misc_RNA from 1 species